rnacentral:rRNA from 1 species
GAUGAACGCUGGCGGCGUGCCUAAUACAUGCAAGUCGAGCGAACAGACGAGGAGCUUGCUCCUCUGACGUUAGCGGCGGACGGGUGAGUAACACGUGGAUAACCUACCUAUAAGACUGGGAUAACUUCGGGAAACCGGAGCUAAUACCGGAUAAUAUAUUGAACCGCAUGGUUCAAUAGUGAAAGACGGUUUUGCUGUCACUUAUAGAUGGAUCCGCGCCGCAUUAGCUAGUUGGUAAGGUAACGGCUUACCAAGGCGACGAUGCGUAGCCGACCUGAGAGGGUGAUCGGCCACACUGGAACUGAGACACGUUCCAGACUCCUACGGGAGGCAGCAGUAGGGAAUCUGCCGCAAUGGGCGAAAGCCUGACGGAGCAACGCCGCGUGAGUGAUGAAGGUCUUCGGAUCGUAAAACGCUGUUAUUAGGGAAGAACAAAUGUGUAAGUAACUAUGCACGUCUUGACGGUACCUAAUCAGAAAGCCACGGCUAACUACGU